UAGAAUCUCUGCUUCUAUUUUCUUAUGUUUAUCAUGCCACUUGAUUUUGUUUGUUUGGAUGCAUGUUUGUAGACCAGAUGGUGACCCGUGAAGGGGUCAGAUUUGGUAAUUUUGAAGUUUGGUUUCAGUGUGUCCUUCCCUUGUGCACCCUGUUUCUUUGCCAUAUUGGUGCUUGCACUGCAAUGUGGAUAUCCCCAAGAACUGGCAAGGGAGUUAUGCAGUUUUAUCUGGC
rnacentral:lncRNA from 1 species